CCGCCUACGGGGGGCAGCAGUGAGGAAUAUUGGUCAAUGGCCGAGAGGCUGAACCAGCCAAGUCGCGUGAGGGAUGACGGCCCUACGGGUUGUAAACCUCUUUUGUCGGGGAGCAAGACCCGCCUCGUGCAGGCGGAGCGAGAGUACCCGAAGAAAAAGCAUCGGCUAACUCCGUGCCAGCAGCCGCGGUAAUACGGAGGAUGCGGGCGUUAUCCGGAUUUAUUGGGCGUAAAGGGAACGCAGGCGGUCUUUUAAGUCUGAUGUGAAAG
rnacentral:rRNA from 1 species